GCUUAACUUCUAGCCCAAACCUUUUAUAUUUUAAACCACCAACUUCCUCUAACUAGAUCAAAACAUUUUUAAAAUUUAGUACAGGCGAAAAAAAAAUUUUUACGGAGCAUUAAAAUUAGUACCGCAAGGGAAAGAUGAAAUAAAAAUGAAAUACUUCAUAAGCAUGAAAAAGUAGAGCUUCCCCCUCGUACCUUUUGCAUCAUGGUUUAACUAGUCUAAUUAGGCACAAAGAAUUUUAGUCUAACCCCCCGAACCCAGGCGAGCUAUUUUAAGACAGCUUUACGAGCCAACCCGUCUCUGUUGCAAAAGAGUGGGAAGAUCCUAAAAUAGCGGUGACAGACCAAACGAGCCCGGUGAUAGCUGGUUGCUUUUUAAAAGAAUUUUAGUUCAACUCAAAGCUUAUAGAUACAAAAUAAAUCUUUACUUUGAAGUCAUUCAAAUAAGGUUCAGCCUAUUUGAAAAAGGACACAACCUUAACCACCGGGUUACUAUGUUUUAAACGUAUUUAAGUAGGCUUAAAAGCAGCCAUCUUUAACAAAAGCGUCAAAGCUUACCCACUCUCUAACUCAAUUCCUCAAGCACUUUACAACCCUUCAUCACCAAAAAGCAACUCUAUAUAGCUAUAGAUAAUUUUAUGUUAAAACUAGUAACAAGAAGCAGCCCUUCUCUUUAAUGCACCUAUACAUCAGAUUGGACCCUCCACUGAUACUUAACGUUUUUAACCCCUUAAUAGUAACACCUCAGGAAAAACCUAUUCUACCCCACGUUAACCUAACACUAGUGCAUUUUAAGAAAGAUUAAAAGAAAAAGAAGGAACUCGGCAAACAUUAGCCUCGCCUGUUUACCAAAAACAUCGCCUCUUGAUUUAACCAUAAGAGGUCCAGCCUGCCCAGUGACAUUGUUCAACGGCCGCGGUAUCCUAACCGUGCGAAGGUAGCGUAAUCACUUGUCCUUUAAAUAAGGACUAGUAUGAAUGGCCCCACGAAAGCUAUACUGUCUCCUUUUUCUAAUCAGUUAAACUAAUCUCCCCGUGAAGAAGCGGGGAUAAACAUAUAAGACGAGAAGACCCUAUGGAGCUUUAAAUAACUGAAACAUUUGCAUCCCACUUUAAAUUUCCGAAAUCUACACUUAAUUCCACAUCUUGUUUCUAGUUUUAGGUUGGGGUGACCACGGAGAAAAACCAAACCUCCAUGCCGAAAGAAACAUCUCUAAACAAAAAACUACAAUUUUAUGUAUUAACACAUUAACCUUAAUUGACCCAAUUUAUUGAUCAACGAACCAAGUUACCCUAGGGAUAACAGCGCAAUCCAUUUCAAGAGCUCUUAUCGACAAAUGGGUUUACGACCUCGAUGUUGGAUCAGGGUAUCCCAGUGGUGCAGCCGCUACUAACGGUUCGUUUGUUCAACGAUUAAAACCCUACGUGAUCUGAGUUCAGACCGGAGCAAUCCAGGUCAGUUUCUAUCUAUAAAGAGUUUUUUCUAGUACGAAAGGACCGAAAAAACAUGGCCCAUACCUUUACGCAAGCCAUCUAUUUUACACCUAUGUCCCCAACUCAAUAGGCAAAAACCUCCCACUAAAUUUUAUACAAAAAUCA
rnacentral:rRNA from 1 species